rnacentral:lncRNA from 1 species
UGUGUGUGUGUGUGUGUGUGUGUGUGUGUGUGUGUGUGUGUGUGUGUGUGUGUGUGUGUGUGUGUGUGUGUGUGUGUGUGUGUGAGAGUGGCUAGAGUCCAGUGUAUGUGUGUGUGUUUAAGUGGCUAGAGUCCAGUGAGUGUGUGUGGCUAGAGUCCAGUGUGUGAUUGUGUGUGUGUGAGAGAGAGAGUGGUUAGAGUCCAGUGUGUGUGUGUGAGAGAGAGUGGGUGGAGUCCAGUGUGUGAGAGUGGGUGGAGUCCAGUGUGUGAUUGUGUGUGUGUGAGAGAGAGAGUGGUUAGAGUCCAGUGUGUGUGUGUGUGUGUGAGAGUGGGUGGAGUCCAGUGUGUGUGUGUGUGUGGGUGGAGUCCAGUGUGUGUGUGUGUGUGGGUGGAGUCCAGUGUGUGUGUGUGAGAGUGGGUGGAGUCCAGUGUGUGAUUGUGUGUGUGUGAGAGAGAGAGUGGUUAGAGUCCAGUGUGUGUGUGUGUGUGUGUGAGAGUGGGUGGAGUCCAGUGUGUGUGUGUGUGGGGGUGGAGUCCAGUGUGUGUGUGUGAGAGUGGGUGGAGUCCAGUGUGUGUGUGAGAGUGGGUAGAGUCCAGUGUGUGUGAGAGUGGGUAGAGUCCAGUGUGUGUGAGAGUGGGUAGAGUCCAGUGUGUGUGAGUGGCUAGAGUCCAGUGUGUGUGUGUGAGUGGCUAGAGUCCAGUGUGUGUGUGUGUGUGAGUGGCUAGAGUCCAGUGUGUGUGUGUGUGUGUGUGUGAGUGGCUAGAGUCCAG